AAAGGAAGGCUAAGACGUAAAAUGCACAGUGAAGGCUCAAAAAAAAAAAAAAAACGCACUAUUUUAUUUUUUGGUUGUGGUUUUCUUUUCGCAAUUCAUUUUCACUUUUCUCAUACUCACAAUUCUCAACUGCAACAUCGAUCUGCACCGUGAAUAUCAUUCUUAUCGAGGUCAAUUGCAAGACCAAUUUCAGCAAUUGGUUAGUGAUUUGGAAAAUGUAAUUGGGUUGCCGUUACAAAGCGUGUAAAGAUCUUGCGGUAAUUCAGCGAAUCCACUGAAAGUAUAGCUGUCUUAAAGGUUGAUUUGGCUAAUGCAAAGAAGCGUCUUAGCGCCCGCAAUAAACAAUUGCAUCAGUUGUGGUAUCAGUCAGUAGCGCUGCAUCACAUAAUUUUCCUGUUAGAUCAAUUUGAGGGCAUAGUUAAGAUAGGCGUGGUGGUGUGUGGUUUUGGAGUUUUGAGAUUGUGGAAAUGUGAGGUUUGAAGAUUGGAGUAGAAGAAGCUCUUUGAUGAGGAAUGUAAAUGAGAUAACCAUACAAGUUCUAUGUUGAUGGAAAAUGGGGAUAUGAUGAAUCUGAACAUCAUGUGACUAGUGAUUAUGGGAUUGUGAACACACUACAUUUGUCUACGGAUGACAUGGAUGUUGAUAAUGAUGUCUUUUCGGCAUGUGGUCAAAAUAUCGCAUGCCUUGGGUUAUAGAUGAUGUCGAGGGGAGAUAUAUUUCAUUGCAACAAAGUAUUAGCUUGGUUGCAUAUCUUCAUGAGGAAUUUGUUAUCAUUUGAUUAGUAUUUGAGUGAAUAGAUUCGAACUUGUAUUAUGUAUAUGAUAUUGAACUUGGGUAUUAUUUUCCCUUAUUAGUAGUUAUUGAUUGAGCA